GCCCCCGCGCCUACUGGGCAAGCGCGCGCCUGGCCGUUGGGUCGCCCGGAUGAACUCCUAAAGCGGGUGUCGCAGGUUCGAAUCCUGCCGGGGGCA
rnacentral:tRNA from 1 species